rnacentral:misc_RNA from 1 species
GUUGAGUUCUAUCAUCUCCUACCAAGAAUUGUGUAUUGAUGGAUUUGACCAUGAUGGCGACCUGAAAUCUAAAGUGCAAAACAGUACGAACUAUGGUAGUGAACUAACAGAUAAUGUCCUGACUAUUCUUGGUGGGAUUUCAGACAUUCUGCAAAACUUUGGUCUCCAGCUUAACCUUCCCAACAUCAAUUCUCGUCGGCUCCUUGGGGCUGAUGGGUACCCAACUUGGUUAUCUGCUGCUGAUCGUAAGCUCUUGGCCGUCGGAAACGCUGGCAAGGCUGCACCAAAUGCGGUGGUUGCCCUAGAUGGAAGUGGGCAAUUCAAGUCCAUUAAUGCGGCUAUAAACUCAAGACCCAAAGGCCAAAAUGGUCGAUUUGUUAUUUAUGUUAAGGCAGGAAUCUAUAACGAGGCCGUAGUGGUGCCAAAGACUCAGGCUAAUAUUCUCAUGUAUGGCGAUGGACCAAGGAGGACCAUUGUCACAGGAAAGAAGAGCUUCACUAGUGGUGUAAACACCUGGAAC